UACAGAGGUGGCAAGCGUUGUUCGGAAUUACUGGGCGUAAAGGGCGCGUAGGCGGCCUUCUAAGUCGAACGUGAAAUCCCCGGGCUCAACCCGGGAACUGCGUCCGAUACUGGAAGGCUUGAAUCCGGGAGAGGGAUGCGGAAUUCCUGGUGUAGCGGUGAAAUGCGUAGAUAUCAGGAGGAACACCGGUGGCGAAGGCGGGUCUCUGGGCCGAUACUGACGCUGAGGAGCGAAAGCGUGGGGAGCGAACAGG
rnacentral:rRNA from 1 species